rnacentral:lncRNA from 1 species
UUUGCUUUUUUGAGCCAAAUUAAAUGAUUCUCCAUGUUGGUUAUUUUGUCUAUCUUCGUUUCAAUAUAUUACAAGUCACAUGAUGAGAGAGAGAAUAAAAAAACAGAUGCAACGAAAUGGAAUCCAAUGAGGUGAUGAAAGCAGGAGUCGGAAAUGCAAUAGAGGACUGAAUUAGGUACGUAGCUAAGCUAGUCAAAACAUAUGGGGCACGAAAUGGAGAGCCAAGAGCUUAGGCAUCAACAAAAAUGGAAAGCCAAAACAUGAGCUAGAUAGGCCAACAAAAUUAGUGGACUUCAAAACAAGAAAUGGGGAAGCAGAAAUAUGUCAUCUGCUGAUAGGAAAAACAGACACGAAAACUGAUACUUUUGACAAAAUCCAUUCAAAACUCUUUAACCCAUACGUUCUGUGCUUAUCCAUUCGAAGUGCAAAAAGCCAAAGACUGCAUAAAUUUAGGUAUUUGUUGCAUGUAUCAUCAAACUCAUGUACUGCGUAAACGUGACGUUUGGAUUGCUAUUCACAAAUUAAAGAUAUCUUUGCUAAGGGAAUUGUGAUGUGUUGCAAUUGUUUUUUCAACAAAAAGCCAAAAUAAAACAAGAUGGAGUUUUGGAUGUAACCCAAGACAAAAAAGAAAAAAAGGCAAAAAAAAAAAGAUGGGGUUUUGGUUAGUUCGGUGUGGCGGUGUGGGGUGUGGGCAACCAAUUUUACCAAUAAUUUAUAGGGAAACCAAGUUUGAUUUGUCCCAUGUUAUACCAAGCUUUUGAUCAUGAUCAUGAUUAAAAUGUUUAUAUAAAAAUAAAGAUACAAAUUAGAAAUAUUGAAACAUUCAAAAUACUAAAAAUAUCUAAUUAAAACAAAUAAAAUAAGAAAAAAUUAAUUGACACGCGUGUGAGUAUAUAUAUAUAUAUUUAUUUAUUUAUUUAUUAAUACGAAGUCUAAAUUUCUUUAAUUUACAAGGUAAGAGAUUUGAAUUUGAUGCAAAAACGAAGCGAAUUUGUUGUCCCG